UUCCCCCAUUCUACAACCCAAACGCAGACUUCUUUUUUCCUCACGUGAACGUUCAGGUCGCCGUGGGAGGCUAUGUACUUUGGUAUGGAGCGUGGCUUCCGGGGACAGAUGUCGCAGCACAAGACAGAAAUGGAACACGCUUAGCUGGUGCAGUGCAGAGUCCUCAAUCGGGCGAGUUCAAGUUGCUGCUCAAGUUCUACAAGGGCGGCUGUGCCUUGUCGAACGCCGACGACGCAAGGAAUAUACCAAGACUGUGGCCAUCCUUCAAAAGCAUCAACUUGGAUCAACUAUUCAUCAAUCCUCAUCCAGUGUCCUUCUACGAGUUUAAAGCCGUGACGGGGUAUAUAAACUACUAGCAGCUUACUUCUCGGAGAACCGCAACAGUACCAGACAGCAGCGGCUGGCCGAAUCAAGAUAUUCCGUUUUUUCAAUGACGACAUGACCUGUGCUCUCUCCUCUGUUUGAGCCCUCAAUCUUAUAAACAAUUUCACCGCUAGUUUGCACAAACAAUUGCUUGCGU
rnacentral:lncRNA from 1 species